rnacentral:rRNA from 1 species
GACGAACGCUGGCGGCGUGCUUAACACAUGCAAGUCGAACGGAAAGGCCCUGCUUUUGUGGGGUGCUCGAGUGGCGAACGGGUGAGUAACACGUGAGUAACCUGCCCUUGACUUUGGGAUAACUUCAGGAAACUGGGGCUAAUACCGGAUAGGAGCUCCUGCUGCAUGGUGGGGGUUGGAAAGUUUCGGCGGUUGGGGAUGGACUCGCGGCUUAUCAGCUUGUUGGUGGGGUAGUGGCUUACCAAGGCUUUGACGGGUAGCCGGCCUGAGAGGGUGACCGGGGAAGCAGGGAGUCAUAUACGACGCUGGGUCGAACCCGGGGCAGAAGGCGCGUGGGUGGGGAUGUGGUCUUGAGGCUGAUGCACCAACGUCGCGGGCGGGGUAGCGGCAUUCGGGUUGAGGAGCACAGACGCCUGUGCCAAAGAGUGCCUGGCGGCGGGGGGUAAAGAAAGAAAGACCAACUCCACG